rnacentral:rRNA from 1 species
UGCGUAGGCGGGUUUCUAAGUCAGAGGUGAAAGCCUGGAGCUCAACUCCAGAACUGCCUUUGAUACUGGAAGUCUUGAGUAUGGCAGAGGUGAGUGGAACUGCGAGCGUAGAGGUGAAAUUCGUAGAUAUUCGCAAGAACACCAGUGGCGAAGGCGGCUCACUGGGCCAUUACUGACGCUGAGGCACGAAAGCGUGGGGGAGCAAACA